AAACUGUCAAAUAUUAAUAAUCAUAUGAAGACAUUUGUAAAAAAAAGGUUUCAUUUACGAUAUUUAUAAACAGCAAUAAAAGUUGUAAUUUACUUGAAAUAAAUACAAUAGGAAGUAACAGAUGAUUCAAUAGUAGUUAAUACGUCAUUUAAAAAUUAUUAUUUAAAGGCUGAAAACUAUCAUUGAAUUUGGCCAUUCGGAUAAAUUUAUUCUUUAAGAAUACAACCAAAUAUCAAAAAAUGCAUAAAACCAUUCUUCUUCUUCUGAUUGGUGUAGCAGUAGUCAGUGCCAAGUUUGCAUGUCCUAAAAAUUACUGUGACAAUGUAAAGUGCAACGCUGUGAGUUGUUCUUCCAAUCAAAAGUACAAAGAACAUGGAACAUUUUGCGGAUGUUGCCCUGCAUGCAUUAAUAUCAUAAAAAAAGGUGGAAGUUGCUUACCACUACUCCUCUUCGGAGACGAACCAGCACAAAUUGCAUGUGACGAUGGAUUAAAAUGCGAUUCUAAUACAUUUACAUGCCAAUAAUUACAAUAACUGGACCAGUAGAUUUUUGUAAUUUUGAUUAAGUUAUGUAUAUGGAGAUAUAAUAAAGAUGCCAUGCAUUGAUAAAAAUGUUUCUUCGUC